rnacentral:lncRNA from 1 species
CUGCCUAUUUUUGCUCUCUUCCUAUAUGCAUGUGUUGCUAGAGGAUUAUGUAUGUAUUAUUGUUAAGAACUCAAGGGAUGGUGAAUUCAAUAUUGGUCGAUAUAGUGAAGAUAUUUGGGGCUGUUUUGGAACUUUUUUAUGUGUAUAUGUUGGGCUGCUUAAUUGAUGUUAGGAAAAGGUGUGAAUAGUUUGUUUUAAAAUGUAGAAGGAGGGUAUAGUAAUACAGCACCA